rnacentral:rRNA from 1 species
GGGCCCGCACAAGCGGUGGAGCAUGUGGUUUAAUUCGAAGCAACGCGAAGAACCUUACCAGGUCUUGACAUCCUCUGACAAUCCUAGAGAUAGGACGUUCCCUUCGGGGGACAGAGUGACAGGUGGUGCAUGGUUGUCGUCAGCUCGUGUCGUGAGAUGUUGGGUUAAGUCCCGCAACGAGCGCAACCCUUGAUCUUAGUUGCCAGCAUUCAGUUGGGCACUCUAAGGUGACUGCCGGUGACAAACCGGAGGAAGGUGGGGAUGACGUCAAAUCAUCAUGCCCCUUAUGACCUGGGCUACACACGUGCUACAAUGGAUGGUACAAAGAGUCGCAAACCCGCGAGGGCUAGCUAAUCUUCAAACCCCAUCUCAGUUCGGAUCGGAGUCUGCAACUCGACUCCGUGAAGUUGGAAUCGCUAGUAA